rnacentral:lncRNA from 1 species
GUCAUUUCCUUUUGGAUGAGUCGAAAUAAUAUUAUAUAAUUAAGGAUUUUAUGUUCGAAUUGGAGUACGAUAAUGAAUUACAAAUCGUUUACGGUAAAAAAAAGAGAGAGAUUAUUUUGUCCUUAAUGAUUGUCUUAUGUAUAUUAUGUUAAUUGUUUUAAUUAAAAAAUUAUUUUAAUUGUUUAACAAGUUAGAACAACACUUAGGACCGUGAAUUUAAAUAGUUAAAAUGUCGUUAAUGAUUAGUUUCCUAUCAACAAAUGAUUCUUGGAUUGAAGUUGUAAUUACUUUUUAU